UCUGCAUUUUCAGCAUGACUGUGAACAAGCUCCUCCUCUUGAUGUUCAUCACUGAUCAGUUGUGUUCAGGAUCUCAAAUGAUGAUACAUAUUGUACUCCAUAGCAUUUAUUCUUCACAAACCUCAAAACUUAACUGCUGAUGGCACGGCAUGUAGCACAGGUCAGUGGCCUUGUCCCAUUAAGCCCACUCCCAACCAUGUUGAGCUCAAGAAAGAAUGUGUCAUAUUAGGGUAGUUGGACUUGACGUGCUGUACACUACACCAGGUUAACAUUCACCCACUAUACACUAAUCUACUGAUCAGCAAGAGAUGCCAAGAGGACUUGACAUAAUGUUCCCAGACAAGAAGUGAAAUGCCUGGGAAGUAUUUGUGGAAUUAACUUCCUUUCACCACUUUUGGACCUGACACACUAUCCACUGCUAGCACAUAUAUUUGGUUUAGUGAAGAACUGAUACAAAGAGCAAAGAAGCAUAUCUAGGAGGCACUUCUUGAUGUUUAAACGAAGACAUGUUAUCUAUUGUAAAUGUAAACACCAUUCAUGGACAGAGCUUUAGACCUGCUCUGAUUGCUGCCUACAAGACAGUACAAGGAGCAGUCUAUGACGGUGGGACGUGUGAUCAGCAUGUCACCAAUACCUCCAGCCAGUAGAUGAAUCCUGAUGCUGCUUCUUUAAUCAAGUUUCAGACCAACAAUUUGCUGCCUUGCUGAUGACGGUACAACAACUUCUGGCUGCAGAAGCAGUGUCGCGGGCACAAUAAUAGAAGCCCACUGACUGACACACCCAACAAGUGCAGCAAACCAGCAUACCACCAUUCCAGCAAUUUUAUGACACAGAAGAGGAAUGGCAUGAAUACCUGAUACAGUUCCAAGCUCAUUGUGCAGUUCAUCACAUUCAAGAAAUUAUCCCCUGCAUUACUAACAUUUAUAGGAAGUCAGAACCACCUCUUAUUCACGGUGAUGUAAUGGAUUUUGUGGGUACUGGCUUCCGUCAACUAAUCCUGCAACAUGUGAUAUGAAGGCAUUGGUCAACCUCCUUCUCCAGAAUUUCUUUGAAAGCGGUCUGAAGCAGCUGAGGUACCUCAGUGUGAGGCAAGAUGGUGGCUAGUGUAAAAAUCUGAUGUGUGGCUCUGCGAAAAAAUGUCAAUUAUGCUGUUAAAAAGAAAAACUGUAACAGUUAUAAGGAUGAAAUAAUAAAGCUCAA